ACAGGAGUUCAGACUGUGCUCUUCCAGUCUCAGCAAUGGAGUGUGCCUUGCACCUGAAAAAGAAUGUGAACCAGUCACUCCUUGAUCUGCACAAGCUGGCAACUGACAAGAAUGACCCUCAUUUGUGUGACUUCUUUGACAUAGGAAGAGCUGAAGACAAAAAAUGAACACCAUA